AUGAGUAAAAGAAAUAAGACAUUGAAUUAUUUUUUUCAAGUUCGGACCACGGGAACCGCAGAAACAGGUCCUUCAACUCGAACAACUGAUAAUGCACCUAGUGUUACAGCUCAACUUAAACCCGGUGAUAUUGAAUCAGACCCUGGUAAGAGAAUUCCGAUUGAGGAUUUGGAUGCAGAUAUUAGAGAUCUUGCUAGAAGGGAGUACAUUAGUAUGGGUCCAUGCCAACCAACUGAUCAUACAUAUGAACGGUUAAAUGGUAGAAGCUUUCAUGAUUAUUGGUUCAAUGAUCAUCAUGGCUGGUUGGAAUAUAGCAUUGAAAAAAAAAUCAGCUUUUUGCUUCUAUUGUUUUUUGUUUAA
rnacentral:rRNA from 1 species